UACGGAGGAUGCGAGCGUUAUCCGGAUUUAUUGGGUUUAAAGGGUGCGCAGGCGGAAUGUCAAGUCAGCGGUAAAAUUUCGGGGCUCAACCCCGUCGUGCCGUUGAAACUGGCGUUCUUGAGUGAGCGAGAAGUAUGCGGAAUGCGUGGUGUAGCGGUGGAAUGCGCAGAUAUCGGGAAGAACACCGAUGGCGAAGGCAGAUCUCUGGGCCGCCACUGACGCUGAGGCGCGAAAGCUAGGGGAGCGAACAGG
rnacentral:rRNA from 1 species